CUAGUUCCAAAUUUCAGAAGUCCAAUCCUCAGUCGUCUCUCCGUCUCUCAUCAGUUUCAAAUUUCAGAUUCAAUUCCAUCUCUUUCCAAUUCGACGCAUAUUCAAAACUACGCCAAUUCAAAUCCAUUGUUUCUAAUGGCUUUAAUUGACAUGGAAACUGCUUUGUUAUCUUUCCCAAGUUCUUCUUCUUCUUCUUCAUCUUCUACUGGCAGAUGGAAGUAUGAUGUCUUCAUCAGUUUCAGAGGCGAGGACAACCGCAACACAUUUGCAGACCUUCUAUAUGAUGCCUUCAAAAGGGAGGGCAUUAUCGCCUUUAAGGACGAUGAGAAACUUGAGAAAGGAAAAACUAUUUCGCCAGAGCUUUCGAAUGCAAUAGAAAAAUCAAGAUAUGCUGUUGUCAUCUUCUCAAAAAACUAUGCAUCUUCAACUUGGUGCUUAAAUGAACUUGUAAAGAUUGUUUAGUGCGAGAAAGAGAAAAUUUGGCCUGUUUUUUAUGAUGCGGAGCUAUCCGAUGUAUGGAAACAAAAAGGAACUUUCGAACAUGACUUUAUCAAACAUGAACAAAAUUUCAACGAGGACCGGGUGAACAUGUGGAGAGAUGCUUUGAGUCAAGUUGGCGAAAUCGUUGGAUGGCCUGUAAUAAAUAGGCCCUGGUCACAGGUUAUCAGAAGCAUUGUUAGAGUAAUAUCGCAUAAAUUGAAUGAUGAUACAUUCUCAGAUAUUGAUGAGGGUCUAAUAGGAUUAGACUCUCGAGUGCUGGAGUUGGAGUCAUGUUUAGAUGUAGGGUCAAACUAUUUUCGCUUUAUAGGGAUUUGGGCGAUGGGGGGAAUGGGUAAGACAACUCUUGCUAGAGUUGUUUAUGAUAUGGUUUUCAAAGAAUUUGAAGCUUGUAGUUUUAUUGCAGACGUUAGGGUUACUUUCUGAAAAACAUGGUUUAGUUUUCCUAUAACAGAAACUUGUUUCUGACAUUUUGAUGGGAACAGAUUUGAAAGCUCCAUCAAAAUAAACUGAGCUGUAAGAUCAAUCAAAUGCUCGGGGUUGGGAAAACAAGGGACCCCUUUGUCAAUCAA